GGGUUUUUAAUUCAAUUAAAAAAACAGUAGCUUUAUAUUUGUGAAAGAUUAAAGUAUCCAUAAUGAAACGCAUUGCCAGGAAACACGCAUACUAAUCUGCCCCCUAAACCUCCAAUUUUGAUUGUCUUUCCCAUCUAAGUUGGAUGCUUGUUCCACUUCGAGUAUUAGAAGAGAGAUGUGCACUUUUUUUCUUUUUUUUUUCAGUUGGGGGUAUCUGGGAUCACCCGACUAAUCCCACUAACCCCGAGGAGAGCGGGCCCCACCGAUCCUCAGGAAAAUACCCCGAGCUGCCCAAGCUUGGAAUCGAACCCAGGACCGGCGCCUUAACUAAGA
rnacentral:lncRNA from 1 species